UACAGGGGGGGCAAGCGUUGUUCGGAAUUACUGGGCGUAAAGGGCUCGUAGGCGGCCGGCUAAGUCCGACGUGAAAUCCCCAGGCUUAACUUGGGAACUGCGUCUGAUACUGGGUGGCUUGAGUUCGGGAGAGGAAUGUGGAAUUCCAGGUGUAGCGGUGAAAUGCGUAGAUAUCUGGAGGAAUACCGGUGGCGAAGGCGGCAUCCUGGACCAUUACUGACGCUGAGGCGCGAAAGCUAGGGGAGCAAACGGG
rnacentral:rRNA from 1 species